rnacentral:rRNA from 1 species
GACAGAGGUGCCAAGCGUUAGGCGGAAUCACUGGGCUUAAAGCGUGUGUAGGCGGGUCGUUAAGUACCUUGUGAAAUCCCACGGCUCAACCGUGGAACUGCUCGGUAUACUGGCGAUCUUGAGCCACUUAGGGGCUACCGGAACAAAUGGUGGAGCGGUGAAAUGCGUAGAUAUCAUUUGGAACGCCAAUGGUGAAAACAGGUAGCUGGGAGUGUGCUGACGCUGAGACACGAAAGCCAGGGGAGCAAACGGG